rnacentral:rRNA from 2 species
CAUAACGUCGCAAGACCAAAGAGGGGGACCUUCGGGCCUCUUGCCAUCGGAUGUGCCCAGAUGGGAUUAGCUAGUAGGUGGGGUAACGGCUCACCUAGGCGACGAUCCCUAGCUGGUCUGAGAGGAUGACCAGCCACACUGGAACUGAGACACGGUCCAGACUCCUACGGGAGGCAGCAGUGGGGAAUAUUGCACAAUGGGCGCAAGCCUGAUGCAGCCAUGCCGCGUGUAUGAAGAAGGCCUUCGGGUUGUAAAGUACUUUCAGCGGGGAGGAAGGGAGUAAAGUUAAUACCUUUGCUCAUUGACGUUACCCGCAGAAGAAGCACCGGCUAACUCCGUGCCAGCAGCCGCGGUAAUACGGAGGGUGCAAGCGUUAAUCGGAAUUACUGGGCGUAAAGCGCACGCAGGCGGUUUGUUAAGUCAGAUGUGAAAUCCCCGGGCUCAACCUGGGAACUGCAUCUGAUACUGGCAAGCUUGAGUCUCGUAGAGGGGGGUAGAAUUCCAGGUGUAGCGGUGAAAUGCGUAGAGAUCUGGAGGAAUACCGGUGGCGAAGGCGGCCCCCUGGACGAAGACUGACGCUCAGGUGCGAAAGCGUGGGGAGCAAACAGGAUU